rnacentral:snoRNA from 1 species
UGCAGGUGAUGUUUUUCUCACGAUGGUCUUCCAAACCAAGGGUUGUGACGACAAUGCCUUAAGGCUACGCUGAUGCAUUUAA